GAGACUUUUUAUUUGAUGCUUGCAUCUUUUAAAAAGUUGAGUGGCGAACGGGUGAGUAACACGUGGGUAGCCUGCCUUAAAGUGGGGGAUAACACUUGGAAACAGGUGCUAAUACCGCAUAACCAUCAAAACCACCUGGUUUUGAUGUUAAAGAUGGUUCUGCUAUCGCUUUAAGAUGGACCCGCGGCGUAUUAGCUAGUUGGUGAGGUAACGGCUUACCAAGGCAAUGAUACGUAGCCGAACUGAGAGGUUGAUCGGCCACAUUGGGACUGAGACACGGCCCAAACUCCUACGGGAGGCAGCAGUAGGGAAUCUUCCACAAUGGACGAAAGUCUGAUGGAGCAACGCCGCGUGAGUGAAGAAGGUUUUCGGAUCGUAAAACUCUGUUGUCAGAGAAGAACGUGUGUGAGAGUAACUGUUCACGCAGUGACGGUAUCUGACCAGAAAGUCACGGCUAACUACGUGCCAGCAGCCGCGGUAAUACGUAGGUGGCAGGCGUUGUCCGGAUUUAUUGGGCGUAAAGGGAACGCAGGCGGUCUUUUAAGUCUGAUGUGAAAGCCUUCGGCUUAACCGAAGUCGGGCAUUGGAAACUGGGAGACUUGAGUGCAGAAGAGGAGAGUGGAACUCCAUGUGUAGCGGUGAAAUGCGUAGAUAUAUGGAAGAACACCAGUGGCGAAAGCGGCUCUCUGGUCUGUAACUGACGCUGAGGUUCGAAAGCGUGGGUAGCAAACAGGAUUAGAUACCCUGGUAGUCCACGCCGUAAACGAUGAAUGCUAAGUGUUGGAGGGUUUCCGCCCUU
rnacentral:rRNA from 1 species